rnacentral:rRNA from 1 species
GACGAACCGUGCGAACGUUGUUCGGAAUCACUGGGCUUAAAGGGCGCGUAGGCGGCUUGCCAAGUCCGGGGUGAAAGCCUCCAGCUCAACUGGAGAAGUGCCUUGGAUACUGGCGAGCUCGAGUGAGGUAGGGGCGGGUGGAACUUCCGGUGGAGCGGUGAAAUGCGUUGAUAUCGGAAGGAACGCCGGUGGCGAAAGCGACCCGCUGGACCUCUUCUGACGCUGAGGCGCGAAAGCUAGGGGAGCGAACGGGA